rnacentral:rRNA from 1 species
UACGGAGGGAGCUAGCGUUGUUCGGAAUUACUGGGCGUAAAGCGCGCGUAGGCGGCUUUGUAAGUUAGAGGUGAAAGCCCGGGGCUCAACCCCGGAAUUGCCUUUAAGACUGCAUCGCUUGAAUCCGGGAGAGGUGAGUGGAAUUCCGAGUGUAGAGGUGAAAUUCGUAGAUAUCAGGAGGAACACCUGCGGCGAAGGCGGGUAGCUGGGCCGACACUGACGCUGAUGCG